rnacentral:rRNA from 1 species
UACGAAGGGGGCUAGCGUUGUUCGGAAUUACUGGGCGUAAAGCGCACGUAGGCGGACUAUUAAGUCAGGGGUGAAAUCCCGGGGCUCAACCUCGGAACUGCCUUUGAUACUGCAAAUCUCGAGUCCGGAAGAGGUGAGUGGAAUUCCUAGUGUAGAGGUGAAAUUCGUAGAUAUUAGGAAGAACACCAGUGGCGAAGGCGGCUCACUGGUCCGGUACUGACGCUGAGGUGCGAAAGCGUGGGGAGCAAACAGGG